ACGGAUGUUCAUGCAAUGUGAUUUCUGCCCAGUGCUCUGAAUGUCAAACUGAAGAAAUUCAACUAAGCGCGGAUAAACAACGGGAGUAACUAUGACUCUCUUAAGGUAGCCAAAUGCCUCGUCAUCUAAUUAGUGACGUGCAUGAAUGGAUUAAUGAGGUUCCCACUAUCCCUGUCUACUAUCCAGCGAAACCACAGCCAAGGGAACGGGCUAUGCAGAAUCAGCGGCAAAAGAAGACCCUGUUGAGCUUGAUUCUAGUCCGACUUUGUGAAAUGACUUGAGAGUUGUAGUAUAAGUGGGAGCCAAAAAGAGAAAGUGAAAUACCACUACUUUUAACAUUAUUUUACUUAUUUCGUGAAUCGGAAGUGGGGCACUGCCCCUCUUCUUGGACCCAAGGCUCGCUCUGCGGGCCGAUCCGGGAGGAAGACAUUGUCAGGUGGGGAGUUUGGCUGGGGAGGCACAUCAGUUCAAAGAUAACGCAGGUGUCCUAAGAUGAGCUCAAGGAGAACAGAAAAAUCGUGUGGAACAGAAAGGUAAAAGCUCAUUUGAUUCUGACUUCCAAUACAAAUACGAACCGUGAAAACAUGGCCUAACGAUUCUUUAGACCUUUGAAAUUCGAAGGUAGAGGUGUCAAAAAAGUUACCACAACGAUAACUGGCUUGUGGAAGCCAAGUGUUCAUAGCGAUGUUGCUUUUUGAUCCUUCGAUGUCGGCUCUUCCUAUCAUUGUGAAGCAGAAUUCACCAAGUGUUGGAUUGUUCACCCACCAAUAGGGAACGUUAGCUGGGUUUAGACCGUCGUGAGAUAGGUUAGUUUUACCCUGCCGAUGACAGUGUCGCAAUAGUAAUUUAACCUAGUACGGGAGGAAUUGUUGAUUCACACAAUUGGUCAUCGCACUUAGUUGAAAAGCCAGUAGAGCGAAGCUACCGUAUGCUGGAUUAUGACUGAACUCCUCUAAGUCAGAAUCCGGGCUACAAGCGACGCAUGUGCCCGCCGUCCGCUUGCCGACCCGCAGUAGGGGCCUCGGCCACCAAGGUUACGGUGGCCGCCUUAAAGUACAAGUGAAGUACAAUUUCCAUCGAGCGGCGGGCAGAAUCAUUUGCAGAUAACUUAAAUACGCGACGGGGUAUUGUAAGUGGAAGAGUGGCCUUGCUGCCACGAUC
rnacentral:rRNA from 1 species